AGAAGCGCUGAAUGGCAUUAUGCAGCAACAAAAUAGCCAAUUUCAGUCUUCUAUUACUUUAACAGAGGAGUUUAUUCGGAAAAUGUCAACUGGAGAUUCUGACACGAUGUGUCUGAUACAUGCAGUUGCAGUCUGUCUUUGGAAGCUGUAGAAAUAACAAGAAAGAGGCUGACAUAGCGUUUUGGUAGGGAAAAGUUUGAGUAUGUACAUGUACAGUUGUUCGACCUGUCUAACCCUGUGGCAGUCCAAGAAGAUGUUACCAUUAUGAAAAAUGCAGGGGAACUUGAAGACAAUGGUUAGUGCAGAAGGGAUAUAAAAGUUAUGAUAAAAGUAACAGAUAUAAAUAAGAAGUGCUACAAGUGUGUUGUCAUGUGAAAUGGAAUUUACCCCAACUGUGCUGCAUUGCGAGACAUUCAUGUACCAGCUGUAAACUGAGAUGGACCCAUAUAAUAAAUAUGUUGACUUUUCUAUGUAUUAUCAUCUGUACAGAAUGUGUUCAUGACAAGACUGUAUACAUAUAUUGUUAAAUAAUUUUUUAUUUCCAUUAUUGCAUACAUGUAAGAAGCUAGCAUUUAACAAUUGCAUUCAUAGAAAUGUUAAAAUGUGAUCAAUCUAAUUUAAAUAAAAACAUUUAAUUGGACUUUUUAAGUUUCAUAGUAAUUGUGGUGGAGAUUGACCCAGUUAUUCAGCAACUUAUACUGUCUGUGAGUCAUUUCUUGUAUGUUAUAGUUUUCUUAAUAAUACAUUAAAUGUCAAAGUUAUGGUAAGAUGAACUCAUUCAUCACUUGUAGAUUAAUUUUAAAGCAGUUCAACAUUUUACCAUAAGUUAACUAAUAUUCUAUUUAACCAGAGAUGUCACAUAUUUCCAUAUAAACAUUUGUAUAAUACAGUCUAAUCUAAUCUACAAAUGAUGUUCCACAAUUUUUUAGUUAUAUUUUAUGUUGAUAUUUUAUGUUGAUAUUUUAUGUUGUUUUCAUGUCUCAACAUAUUAUUACUAACAUCAAAGAAACUUGAGUAUUUUACAGUUUGGUUGGUAUAAAUGGUUGUUUUGUUUAUAUAUUUUUUUCCAUCCAGGAGAAUAAAGAAAUAUACAUUUCAAAAUAUCUCACCAUUCCAGAUAAGUACACUACAUAAUCAAGAUAAAAGAAAUAAGAACAAAAUAUGUUGGUGGAAUUUUAUUUUCAAAAAUUUGAUAUACAGUCUUUGUAGUAUUUACUUCUUGAGGUAUGUUGGACAGAAAUGGGAAUAACAACAUACUUUAAUUUUUUGUAGUAACAAGUUAUUAUGGGAAUUAUUAACUUAACUUAACUUAAAAAGAUUUUAUCUCACUGUUAUGCCAUCUGAGCUUUAAUAUUUUUCAACAUUGUCAUUGGCAACAAGGCUCAAAAUUAUUUGUUGUGUAUACCUUGCAUUCAUGUGUGAUAAAUGCUUUUAUGGUAUUCUUUAAUAUAAUUUAUGCUUUUAAUCUUACCAUGGAUUAAAAAAAUAUAACUUUAUUUGUCUGAUAAUUAAGGUAAAAAUAUUGACUGAUUAAAUUGUAAUAUAAGAAAGCUUAUUUGAGAUAAAGGGAGGUAAUUCCAUAAAAAAUAUGUAGAAUGUAGAUGAUAAAUAUAAUGAAGGGAGGUAAUAAAAUAUUGUGAAGUUAUUAGUCUUCUUUUCUUUGAUGAGCCAAAUAAUUGUUUUACAUUUUGGUUUAUUAACUACAAGUAUGACCUAACAUGUGUACCUGUCCUGAAGGAAAAUAAAAAGGUUGUUUGAUGUCCUUGUACUGUUAAGUUGUUCCUGUAUUUGUUUACAUUCCAUGUCUGAAUGAAAUGAAGAAACAGACUUUAAUGAGGGUAUCCCGGGAAAAUACCUAAGUUUAUUUUUAUAUCAGCAAAUUUGAUGAGAUAGUCAUUCAGGAGUUGUCUAUCCUAUUUCCAAAAAUGCUAUGGGGACUAAAAUUUUUGGAGUAAAUAUCUCUUUUAAAAAAUAACACACAGCAU